AUGUUCUGCCUGCUCGUGUCUCCGGAGCCGCUCCGCCGCGCGCAGCUCCUGUCCGACUCGGCGCCGCGGAGCCCAGCAAGCUACAGGGCGGCCGUCGUUUGCCAGUCUACCCCGCCGCUGGCCGUUUCUCGCCACGUCGCAGUGGAUAUCCCCGAUGGUUACGACGACGACGAGGACCGCGACGACUCGGGCGUCUACAAAUUAGAGACGACGACGCAGCACAUAAGCCCCGUUGGUAGGGUGCUCGCGAAGGCGGCGUUGGUUGCGUACACGGCGUUCGCCGCACCCGCCUUUGUGGUGACCGCGGCCACGCGGAGCAGCAACUGGCUCCAGGUGCUGCUGGUUGUGGUGCUGGUGCUGCUCACCUUCCUGUCGCUUUUCAUGGCCACGUUGUACGCCUUGGAAGACGAGGACAGGGAGAGGGAGGAACAAGGGGACCAUGAACUCAGACGUCGGCGCGGAUUCACAUGA
rnacentral:rRNA from 1 species